UGCAAGAUGGUCCCGAUGGUGUCCUGUCGUUAACUAUAAAUAGGUGGAUGAUCAGGAUAAUCAAAUCAUCAGAGAAAUCUUAAAUCUUUUCUUUCUUACAUAGUCUCCUAGGUGUCUAAAUUUUUCUCUUCCUUCUCUUGUUAAGACCAAGUCUAGAUUAGGACAAAGGGUCUGCUUUAGGACAAGGGCUUAGGAAGAGAAAAAGGAAAAGC
rnacentral:lncRNA from 1 species